rnacentral:tRNA from 1 species
UCCACGGUGGCUCGGAUGGUAAGGCAUCUGCCUGCAAUGCAGGAGACCCAGCUUCAAUCCCUGGCUAGGGAA